rnacentral:rRNA from 1 species
UACAGAGGUCCCAAGCGUUGUUCGGAUUCACUGGGCGUAAAGGGAGCGUAGGCGGGUUCUUAAGUUAGGUGUUUAAUCCCGGGGGCCAACCCCGGACCGGCACUAAAACUGGGAAUCUUGAAUAGUGGAGAGGUCAGUGGAAUUGGGGGUGUAGCGGUGGAAUGCGUAGAGAUCGGAAAGAACACCAAUGGCGAAAGCACUCUGCUAGGCCGACACUGACACUGAGAGACGAAAGCUAGGGGAGCAAAUGGG